CAGCCGCCGCGGUAAUACGAAGGGGGCUAGCGUUGCUCGGAAUUACUGGGCGUAAAGGGCGCGUAGGCGGACAGUUCAGUCGGGGGUGAAAGCCCGGGGCUCAACCUCGGAAUUGCCUUCGAUACUGGCUGUCUUGAGUAUGAGAGAGGUGUGUGGAACUCCGAGUGUAGAGGUGAAAUUCGUAGAUAUUCGGAAGAACACCAGUGGCGAAGGCGACACACUGGCUCAUUACUGACGCUGAGGCGCGAAAGCGUGGGGAGCAAACAGGAUUAGAUACCCCAGUAGUCCCUGUCUCUUAUAC
rnacentral:rRNA from 1 species